rnacentral:rRNA from 1 species
UCAAGCGUCUGAAGGGCAUCUGGUGGAUGCCUUGGCACUGAGAGGCGAUGAAGGACGUAGCACGUUGCGAUAAGUCACGGGGAGCCGCGAGCAGGCAUUGAUCCGUGAAUUUCCGAAUGGGGAAACCCACCGCGUCAAGCGGUAUCCCACACUGAAUCCAUAGGUGUGGGAAGCGAACCCGGCGAACUGAAACAUCUAAGUAGCCGGAGGAAAGGACAUCAACCGAGACUCCGCUAGUAGUGGCGAGCGAACGCGGACCAGGCCAGUCAUUCGAUCUACAUAACCGGAACCGUCUGGAAAGUCGGGCCAUAGCGGGUGAUAGCCCCGUACGGAUAAACCGGAUCGAAUGCUCGAGUAGGGCGGGGCACGUGAAACCCUGUCUGAACAUGGGGGGACCACCCUCCAAGCCUAAGUACUCCUCAGUGACCGAUAGUGCACCAGUACCGUGAGGGAAAGGUGAAAAGCACCCCGACAAGGGGAGUGAAACAGUUCCUGAAACCGGAUGCCUACAAGCAGUCGGAGCCUCUUCAUGGGGUGACGGCGUACCUUUUGUAUAAUGGGUCAGCGACUUAGAGUAUGCAGCGAGCUUAAGCCGGUAGGUGGAGGCGCAGCGAAAGCGAGUCUGAAUAGGGCGACCGAGUUGCAUGCUUUAGACCCGAAACCUGAUGAUCUAGCCAUGGGCAGGUUGAAGGUGCGGUAACACGCACUGGAGGACCGAACUCACGCCUGUUGAAAAAGUCGGAGAUGACCUGUGGCUAGGGGUGAAAGGCCAAUCAAAUCAGGAAAUAGCUGGUUCUCCGCGAAAGCUAUUUAGGUAGCGCGUCGCGUAUUGCCGCGGGGGGUAGAGCACUGGAUGGGCUAGGGGGGCGCGAGCCUUACCAAACCUAACCAAACUCCGAAUACCCGUGAGCAGAGCGCGGCAGACAGACGGUGGGUGCUAAGGUCCAUCGUCGAGAGGGAAACAGCCCAGACCGCCAGCUAAGGUCCCCAAAUCACGGCUAAGUGGGAAAGGAUGUGGGAAGGCCAUGACAACCAGGAGGUUGGCUUAGAAGCAGCCAUCCUUUAAAGAAAGCGUAAUAGCUCACUGGUCUAGUUAAGCCGGCCUGCGCCGAAAAUGUAUCGGGGCUCAAGCCGUGUACCGAAGCUGCGGGUGUGAUCUUCGAUCACGCGGUAGCGGAGCGUUCCGUAAGCCUGCGAAGGGUGUCCGUGAGGCCGCCUGGAGGUAUCGGAAGUGAGAAUGCUGACAUGAGUAGCGACAAACAGUGUGAGAAACACUGUCGCCGAAAGUCCAAGGGUUCCUGCGCAAGGUUAAUCCACGCAGGGUGAGCCGGCCCCUAAGGCGAGGCCGAAAGGCGUAGUCGAUGGGAACCAGGUUAAUAGUCCUGGGCCUGGCGGAGGUGACGGAUGGGAAAGCGUGUAUGUCCUUAUCGGAUUGGACAUGCUGUGGACCUGUUCCAGGAAAUAGCCCCGCCGUAUAGACCGUACCCCAAACCGACACAGGUGGACUGGUAGAGUAUACCCAGGCGCUUGAGAGAAUGGUGUUGAAGGAACUCGGCAAAUUGCCCUCGUAACUUCGGAAGAAGAGGGCCCCGUUGUGGCGCAAGCCAUGGCGGGGGGCACAGACCAGGGGGUAGCGACUGUUUACUAAAAACACAGGGCUCUGCGAAGCCACACAAGGCGACGUAUAGGGUCUGACGCCUGCCCGGUGCCGGAAGGUUAAGAGGAGAGGUGCAAGCCUUGAAUUGAAGCCCCGGUAAACGGCGGCCGUAACUAUAACGGUCCUAAGGUAGCGAAAUUCCUUGUCGGGUAAGUUCCGACCUGCACGAAUGGCGUAACGACUUCCCCGCUGUCUCCAACACCAACUCAGCGAAAUUGAACUCUCCGUGAAGAUGCGGAGUUCCCGCGG